rnacentral:misc_RNA from 1 species
AGCAGCCGCGGUAAUUCCAGCUCCAAUAGCGUAUAUUAAAGUUGUUGCAGUUAAAAAGCUCGUAGUUGAAUUUCGGGGUCUGUCCGUCGGUCGGGCUUCACGGUCCGUACUGGUGUGAUGGGUUCCUACCUUCUGAAUAACCGGCAUGCCAUUCAGUUGGUGCGCCGGGGAAGCAGAGCUAUUACCUUGAAAAAUUAGAGUGCUUAAAGCAGGCUAGUGCUUGAAUAGAUUAGCAUGGAAUAAUAAAAUAGGACGGCAUGGUUCUAUUUUGUUGGUUUCUAGGAUCACCGUAAUGAUUAAUAGGGAUAGUUGGGGGCAUUAGUAUUCAAUUGUCAGGGGUGAAAUUCUUGGAUUUAUUGAAGACUAACUUCUGCGAAAGCAUUUGCCAAGGAUGUUUUCAUUAAUCAAGAACGAAAGUUAGGGGAUCGAAGACGAUCAGAUACCGUCGUAGUCUUAACCAUAAACUAUGCCGACUAGGGAUCGG